rnacentral:rRNA from 1 species
GAUGAACGCUGGCGGCGUGCCUAAUACAUGCAAGUCGAGCGAACAGAUUAGGAGCUUGCUCCUCUGACGUUAGCGGCGGACGGGUGAGUAACACGUGGAUAACCUACCUAUAAGACUGGGAUAACUUCGGGAAACCGGAGCUAAUACCGGAUAAUAUAUUUAACCGCAUGGUUCAAUAGUGAAAGACGGUUUUGCUGUCACUUAUAGAUGGAUCCGCGCCGCAUUAGCUAGUUGGUAAGGUAACGGCUUACCAAGGCAACGAUGCGUAGCCGACCUGAGAGGGGGAUCGGCCACACUGGAACUGAGACACGGUCCAGAAUCCUACGGGAGGCAGCAGUAGGGAAUCUUCCGCAAUGGGCGAAAGCCUGACGGAGCAACGCCGCGUGAGUGAUGAAGGUCUUCGGAUCGUAAAACUCUGUUAUUAGGGAAGAACAAAUGUGUAAGUAACUAUGCACGUCUUGACGGUACCUAAUCAGAAAGCCACGGCUAACUACGUG